UGUGUGUGUGUGUGUGUGUGUAUAAUUUUUCUUUUUUUCUAUUUCUUCCUCCUCCUAUUCCUUCUCCUUUCUUCAUUUACUAUUCUUCCUCUUCCUAUUUAUCAUUUAUUUGUGUAGGCUAUGUGUAUGUAUGUGUGUGUUCGUGCCAAAUCUAUCUCUAUCUAUAUCACCCAAACUAACCAGAAACAUAUAUACAAAUAGGUGUGUAGGUUUUCAAAGGCUAACAUCGUCACUUUCACCUCUCGAGACAACUCUUUCCCAAGGCCACAAAGGAGGUUAGUCAAGUUCUCAUGAGUGUGUGUUUUCACGUUCAUGUCGUAGAAAGAAGCCUCGUCAAACUACCACUAUGGGCUCCUCAAAAAACUAAAGGCCUACCCAUGGACAUACUCACACACGCACA